ACCGGCAGCUAGCUUUCUGCAACUCUCACAUGGUCGCCCACUAAAGCUAAGGAGGGCUGCACCUGGUCAGUACUUGGAUUGGAGACCACAUGGGAAAGCCAGGUUACUGUUGUAA
rnacentral:rRNA from 1 species